rnacentral:rRNA from 1 species
GACGGAGGGCGCAAACGUUGUUCGGAAUCACUGGGCGUAAAGGGCGCGUAGGCGGAUCGGUAAGUCAGGGGUGAAAGCCCGGGGCUCAACUCCGGGACUGCCUCUGAAACUGCCGGUCUUGAGUGCAGGAGAGGAAGGCGGAAUUCCAGGUGUAGCGGUGGAAUGCGUAGAUAUCUGGAAGAACACCAGUGGCGAAGGCGGCCUUCUGGACUGACACUGACGCUGAGGCGCGAAAGCUAGGGGAGCAAACAGG